UUGGUUGCUGCCAGAAUGGUUAAUGAUUGCUCCCGGUCUAAUGGAGUGUUGAUUUGAGUGUUAUCUGGUUGAAGUUCAUCAAAAAUUGAGUGGUUGGGCAACCUUUUCUCUCUUCAACACUUUGUACUUAUUUGGACGCAAGAACCUUUUUUAUCUGGCCUAAAGUGGAUGCCAUGUAACAGCUCACCAAAUUGCAACACCUAUUCAUUCAUAACUGCCUCAAGAUAAAUGAUAGAAGUGCUGAGAGUUAUUGACCAAUUCUGGUCCAAUGACGAGGAAUGAAUUAAAGAGGAAGCUGUUUGAAGUUCACACAUAUAUUAUCACAACAAUGUGUGGGGAAGAUUCUAUUAAGGAGCAGCAUAUAAGAAUUAUGUGAUUGCACAAAGCUGAUGCAUGUGCACCCAUGCAACGCCUCACCACAUUAUUACAUCAUCAAGAGGAAGGAUGCGGUAAAUGUAAUGCCUCAGGUUUUCUAGUAGCAUCUUGAAAUUUAUGUGAUAUCAGGAAAGGCUAGUGGAAGAUGUGGUACUUUCAACUUAGGUCCUCUAUUGUGCAAACAGGUUUGGGUACUUCAGCUGUCUAAUUUUCUUUAUUGCGAAGGUUUUGUUAUUUUCUUUUUUCUUGCCCUUCCCCCAACAUAAUAGAAAGCAUAAAAAUAGGUUUUUAUUUUAUUUUAUUUUUAAAUUAUUAUAAUAAUGCUUGCAUAAGUGUCAUCAAGAAAGUUUUAAUUCCCACAAAAUUAUUUUUAUUUUCCCAAUAUUAUAUGUUCUUGAGCUUUAGCCAAUCAUUAGGUUUUCUAAUAUACUUUUUAAUAACUUGAUCAAUAAUUGCCCUCUUUUCUGAAAAAGUUAGAAUGCAUUGAGCAUAAUAAACAUAAUGCUAGAAUUUUGAAAUACAAUUAAGGAUCAGUAAUUACCAAGCACCUAUGUCAUAUUCAAAAAUGAAAAUUGACUCUUUACAUCAAUACUUUCCAUAAUGUGCUCUUCUUGAUGAAGGCAAAGGCAGGAAAAAGAUGGAAUAUGAGAUUUCCUGCUGAACCUGGUCAGGGCAGUAAGGAUAGGAACCAUUCAUUUUCUUCCCCUACUUAUUAUAAAUUCCUUCAAAAGUUUAUGAGUGGUGGGUGAUGUAGAACAGAGCUCAUUAGAAUUCAGCGUGCGGGAAAUUCAAGAAGUAGAAAAGUACUAUUAGAAGUCGUUGGAGAUCAUGGCAAAAUUGCGUGAAAUUUGGUGACAUGAAGGGAAAUGGUGUUGGGAGUAAAACUCAUAGCCUUGGCCACGAUCGAACAUGCUUUUUGGAAAGUAACGUGUUUGUUUUCUUGUAACUUCUGCAACAAUAGUGGGGCAGCCUCAAAUCUUUUCAAGAAAUGAAACCCAAGAACAAGAAUGCACUACCUUCCAAUAAAGAAAGAUUACAGGCAAAAGAUUGGUCAUAAUCCAGAAAUCACAAAAGGUGGACUUACAAAUUGAUUCCAGUACUUUUUAUUCCUAAACUCACUAAGAAUUUGGAAAAUUGACUGCAAUAGGGAGUGUUGAUGACCUUGUUCGUGUUAUAUGGAAUUUUUCAGAAUCAUGUACACAUUUCUUAAUUUGCUCUUUUCCAUGUUUUUCAUUUUGAAACUUUUUUCUUUUCCAUCUCUAACGACAUACAUGGAUUUAUUCUUGGAUUACAGAUUGUGAAAUCUAAGUUUUCCCUAUUACUUAAGAUUCUCAUAUCCGGUCAAUGGAAAACAAACCUUCCCAAUUCCUUGUUAGAUUCUCUUUGGAGUUUCAAAAGAUGUCCGACAUUUCAGGCUACACACAAAUCAAACAUUAUGUGUGCCUAAGCUCAAGCUGCUGCCUCAUCUACUUGAACAAUCGCAAAUAAGAUAUUUUGAAAUCAAAAAGAGUAAACAAGAGUGGGUGACUUUCCACUAUAGUUGCAGAACCUUUAUUUAGUUGAUGAGAUGUCUAUAAACAGUUGCAAGAAGUUGAGAUAUCUACCAGCAUGGGUGUGGUGCCUCACUAAAUAACAGAUGAUGCCAUGCUGUGUGCACUAUAAGGAAGUAUAACUUGAGAUUCAAAUCAAAUUAAACGAGAAGGUUAACAUCUUUUUUCUUUUGAGAUCAAAUUAUAAUGUUGGGUUAGCUGGAACCAUGACUUGAAUGUACCUGCAAGUGUCAAUUGGGUAUAUUAGGUAUCACUUCGACAAUGAAUCAAGAUUCCUGACAAUUUGUCAGCUGUUCAAAUCCUAUGUUUUCGUUUCCUAACUUAAAGUCUCUGUUGCAGUGACUUCAGCAGUUUUCUAGAUUAUGAGUCUUCUCUUAUUGUCAGUCUUGUUGUCUUAACUACGAGGCCAACCUGUUUGGGUGCUCCACUUCAUAUCCCUGUAUGGAGGGUAACAGCCUACAGAUUGCAGACAAGGCAAUGGACAGAAGUCUCUGUCUGAAAAGUUGACAGUUCUUUACUUAAAUGGGUAAAUAUGAAGUCUACUUCCAGAAGGGAAUAGUUAAAAGCGCUGGAUACUCACUCUUUAGUGCCAUUCUAGUUUUUGAUUCCCUGGGCUGGUAUCUUGGAAAACAUCAAAAGGUAAUGCCAAUUGCAUUAGAAUGUGAAGUGUGCUGUUCAGCGGAGACAUCAUUGCUGCCUGUAUUUAAGACUCCAAUCUUGAUAAUAGGUGACCUCAUUUGCCGCAACAAUAGAAUGUCUUCUCUAAGAACUGACUUUAUAUACUGAAGGCAUUGAAAUUUAUUUUCGACCUACAGCCAAUGCGAGGGAGAUAUGGCAAGCUACUAUGAUCCAUAUUGCCCAAGAAGGUGGCUGCUUUGUUCUAUCUUCAAACCAAUUCUGCAAAAAGGGGAGACUAUCCGUUGUCAACAGAAACGUAUGUCAAUACAAUAAGAAGUAUUGCACGUAGUGUUAUUUUAUUGUCAUCCAGUUGUGACCAUUCUGGCUGAACCUAAUUUCCAAGGGAGUCUCUCAUCUGAAACAAUCUUUUCCUCUCUUAAUGUUCCAGAACUUGGAGGGUGUUUGAGCAAAGCUAGAUUUUAGUGGAAAUAGGCAUCAAGUGGGACCAAACUCAGUCAAUCUGACUCUGAAUAUACCCAAUCCAAUUUCUUUUACAACUUCUGUGAAAGUGGAAGUUCUUGAUGAGCUACAAUUAUGACUUAGCUGUGUAAAAAGUUAUUAAAUAAAUUUCUUCUAGCUGUCCUCUUGCCAAACAGCUAAUCUAGGCUUUGUAUAUAUCUUUUGUACUGCUUAGAGGUGUAUAGAGGUUAGAUAGUGUCCAUGAUUCGUCCAACACAUUUUGAAGAUUUCAAAUAUUUGCAUAGAUUUUCCUGUACAGUUCAUGAAUAUGUUAGUCCUGGCAUAUUUGCAAUUGCCGUGAUGAACUUUCAUAUGUAUACUAAAUUAUGUAUCUUUUCCCCUUAGGUUUCUUUCAAAAAUAUUAGGUAUCUGAAAGGGUAAUUAUGAAUGCCAGGCUA